rnacentral:rRNA from 1 species
CCUACGGGAGGCUGCAGUGGGGGAUAUUGCACAAUGGGGGGAACCCUGAUGCAGCGACGCCGCGUGGGUGAAGAAGCGCCUCGGCGCGUAAAGCCCUGUCAGCAGGGAAGAAAAUGACGGUACCUGAAGAAGAAGCCCCGGCUAAAUACGUGCCAGCAGCCGCGGUAAUACGUAGGGGGCAAGCGUUAUCCGGAUUUACUGGGUGGAAAGGGGGCGCAGACGGCGAUGCAAGCCAGGAGUGAAAGCCCGGGGCCCAACCCCGGGACUGCUCUUGGAACUGCGUGGCUGGAGUGCAGGAGGGGCAGGCGGAAUGCCUGGUGUAGCGGUGAAAUGCGUAGAUAUCAGGAGGAACACCGGUGGCGAAGGCGGCCUGCUGGACUGCAACUGACGUUGAGGCCCGAAAGCGUGGGGAGCAAACAGGAUUAGAUACCCCAGUAGUC